AACGCACCUUGCGCCCCUUGGCAUUCCGAGGGGCACACCCGUUUGAGUGUCGUGAAAUUCUCAAAACCUUUUCUUUGGUCUUUCGACCGGGUUUAGCGUUUUGGACUUGGAGGCUUUUUGCUGGUUUCACCUUGAAGCGAGCUCCUCCUAAAUGGAUUAGCGGGGUCUGCUUUGCCGAUCCUUGACGUGAUAAGAUGUUUCUACGUCUCGGGUUUGGCACUGUCCCUUGGGCACCUGCUUCUAACCGUCUCAUCGACAAUGAUGGCGUUCCGGUCACCACCGUUUCAUCGGUGGGAGGCUCGACCCACGAAACAAAGCUUGACCUCAAAUCGGGUGGGACUACCCGCUGAACUUAA
rnacentral:misc_RNA from 1 species